rnacentral:tRNA from 1 species
AUUUAUGUAGUAUAAAAAUUAUUUUUGACUUCCAAUUAAAAGAUCUAAGUAAAUUAGCAUAAAUA